UCUGUUCCUUUUUUUCCCUCCUCCUUUUUAUUACGGAAGGUCCGGGCGUUAUCCGGAUUUAUUGGGUUUAAAGGGAGCGUAGGCCGGAGAUUAAGCGUGUUGUGAAAUGUAGACGCUCAACGUCUGCACUGCAGCGCGAACUGGUUUCCUUGAGUACGCACAAAGUGGGCGGAAUUCGUGGUGUAGCGGUGAAAUGCUUAGAUAUCACGAAGAACUCCGAUUGCGAAGGCAGCUCACUGGAGCGCAACUGACGCUGAAGCUCGAAAGUGCGGGUAUCGAACAGG
rnacentral:rRNA from 1 species